CAGUGAGCCACACCCUGCCACACCUGCAAGAGAUGCACAGACUGCAGGAGUUAAAAGGAAGCAGAACAGCCCACCUGUGGGCAUAACAGGGGAGAGACUUAGAACUGACCUGCUGGAGGGCCAGGGCACAAGAGGAGACAGCUGAGAGGGAGAGAGUUAUUGCGUCUGACUGCAAAAAGGUGCCAAGUGAUGAGGACUGAAACACAGAUAGAUUAAAUGGCUUUCCCAAGGUCACAUAAUGAGUCUGUGGAGGAGCUGGGAUUUGAGAAACUCUCUUCAGCUGAGCAGGGUUUUUUUUACUUUCUCCAUGAGACUUCAUAUUGACUGCUGAAUAAUGAUUGCUGUGAUGCAAGCUCAAGAGAACAAUUUUUUUAUACCAUAAACACAAUAUGUAUAAUUCAGUUAUAUUUGCAGAGAGGAUUGCAAUAUGUUUAAACAAUGUAGGUCUAGAUUCAUCAAAAUGUGUUGCUGACUCCUGAUGUUUUGACUUUUGUCAAGUUUCAUUAACUUAGCACAUCUACUAUUUCAAGUCCUAUUUCCAUAAGAGAUUCUUGAAAGGAUUAGGAGCUGGAAAAAUGUAAUAGUAGAUUUCAAUUUUCUGAGGGUCAAGUUCUUGACAGUACAUGGUAUCUUGCUGGUAGGUGCUUCCAGCUGCCUGUAGGAAUAAAGUUUUUGUUUCUUAAA